rnacentral:lncRNA from 1 species
ACUAUUUAAAUCAUAAUAAUUCGAAUUUUAAAACUUCAAUUACUCCCUACCUGUGAAUCUCAUGUUGUUUUUGAUGAUUGAUUUGGGUUCUACUCUUCGAUAUCUUCGAUUUGACUAUUCGCACGCUUGAUUCUGACUCCAAUAACACCUUCAAAUCUUCGUUUGAUUAUGAAGAACACGAAGAACACCGCUCGGUUUCUCUCGGUAUUCGUGCAGAGAAACUGGUGAAAUGAUUUUACGGGUGAAAAUAAGCUCUAGAAAGGUCUAUUUAUAUUUACAAAUAAUUGGUACCCCUUUGGAUCGUUUAUGACAUGAAAAUACGUAUUUAAUAGCUUUAUAUUAAUAAAGCGGGGUCCAAUCGGUACUGGUUUUCGAGAUAAUCAUCAAAACGGGGCUUUUUAACUCAAUUAUUGGUCUGCGGGUCCCAUUGCAAUUAUUACAAGAUAAGGAUGAAUAUAAUAAUCAAAAUAUCUCGUUUCACGCUUAUCGAGACAAACUGGAUAAUUAUCAACAAUUAAAAUACCCGAAAAACUCCGCCGGACCGACUCCGGGGAAAACCGUACUCCGGAUCGAAAAAGUCAAAACACGAAAAGUGUCCGGAAUAUUCAAAUUAGGCUAAAGGUCAGUUUUGUUGAAACUUCCGGGAAGAAAAUUUGCUACCUCGUUACGAGUGGACGGUUUUACGGAAGUCAAAUAAUUAAUAAAUAAAUAUAAAUAUACGCAAUUAAAUCCGUAAAUCGAUUAUAAAAUCAUCUAACAUUCCAUAAAUCGAUAUGAAAAUAUCCAAAUAAACUAUAUUUUCUCCUGAGCAUAUAGAAAUUGAAAUCUCUCAAAUACGAACACAUAUGAGCAGUUAACGCAAUAAACCAGAUAAUAUAAAAUUCACAAAAAUUCAUAUAUUAAUCAUAUAAUACUCAUAAUUAACCAUAAUUAAUUAACCAACAAAUCCACCAAUACCACUUACUCACAUCACACAUAUAUUCACAUAAUAUUCAUACAGAAUUUUCGAAACAAUAUAUGAAAAUCACUUUUGAAAAUACAAUUAUUUAUCAAUAACACAAUAACCCGGGGUUUAAAUAUAAAACCUUGAAAACUCCUUAAACUGGAAUAAAAUAUUAAAUCUUAUUCCUUACUUUUUAAGAAAAUCAUUUAUAAUAUUAAUAAAGAUAUUUUUAAAAUCCGGGUUAUUACAAUCUACCCUCCUUAUAGGGAUUCCGUCCUCGGAAUCAGAGAAAGAAGGAGGACGCAAUAUUUGUAAAAUCCAUAUUAAUCCACAAAACAAGUAUAAUCAUAUAAAACUAUUCACAUAAUCAAUUCACUUUUCAACUAAAGCCAACAAUAAUAUUUAGACAGAUAGAUUUAUAACAAUCAAAUCUAAAUUUAAAAAUAUGGGAUAUUACAUUCUACCCCCCUUAUAAGGAUUCCGUCCUCGGAAUCCUCCGAAGAAACUAAAACGUAUCAUUUAUAAGAUCGUGGUACACGCUUCAUAAUAUCACAUGCUCAUCCGCCUUUAAUUAACUUUGGCAUACCUUCAAAGUUAAAGAAAUAGGAAAAUCAAAGCCUUCACAAUUGCAAACUUCAUUUCCCAAGAAUCAAUCUUUGGGAAUUUCGGAGGAACAAGAUGUUUUCAAAAUAGGUCACAUUGGAAUACAAGAGUGACUGGGAGAUCAAUACGAUCAAAUGAACUUAAUGUUGCGUGUCCAUAUUAGACACUACUAAAGGUUGUUAACCUUCUUGUAAUCACAACACACACAAGUGAUGGCGUCCCAUCCAACUCCUAUCACACAGACAGGUAUACCUUGUGUCCCCUAUAAAUAGGGUUGUUCAUCCCAAUCAAAUUGAAGAAAUGUUAAGGAAUAUCAGAGAAUAUCAAUGAAUAUCAACAAUAUCAAAGAACACUAAGGGAUAUCAAGGUAGAUGAAAGGGUAUCAAGGAAUGUCAAGAAAUGUCAAACAAUAUCAAGGAACAUCACUAUCUCUUUACAACAAACCUUUAUCACACAUCUUUGCUUUCCAACUCAUACCAAUAAUCAAUACCAAUGUCAUCUUAGAAUUUGAGAAAUUGAAGAUCUCAUUUAUCAAAACUUUUGUAGAAAAGAUAUCAUGAUAAUAUCUCACUGAUGAGAAAACAAUCAAAAGAACCUUUAGUUGAAGAGAGGUAUUGCCAAGGUCUUCUCAAAUUCCCACUCUACUUUACGAAAUCGUUAUUCGAUUUAUGUCAUCCUUUCAACGUUCUCGAUAAUCAAUCGAUUUAACUCGUAAUAGCCUCAUAAGAUGUCAUCGUAGACGUUAUCGUUCGUAAUAAGUCUGACCCAAGUAGUUCACGUUCUCAUGCUUCAUCCAGUUGCCUUUGAAGUCCAUAACACCACACGUAGCAUAUCUUCGAUUUUCUGGAUCGUCGCCCUGUGGGUUAUGGGCCCACCUUGUCCCGCUUAACUUAAAACGUCGUCGUGAGAAUUCACAUUCUAAAUUACUCGCAAAUAUCGCUUCUAAUAACCUGAAUCAACUUCACUUACUCUCUAUCAUACACUUCUCAUCUAUCAACCUCUAUAUACAAGUCUCUCCUUCUAAUUCUGUGCAACUCAUAUCUUACACUAACUCUUCAUAUCUCACAAAAACAACAUACCUCUUCCAAAUAUCUAACAUGGUCAACAUACUAUGAACCAUGCAUCUUUAUCCUUCUCAAAUCAAUACCAUAGACCAUUUUCAACUAUGCAGUAUAGUCAGAAUACUCUGAACUCUGCAUUUUCACCAUUCUCAACUCAGUCAUUCACUAUCAACUUUUCUAUCUGGGUCUAAUCUUGACCUUUCUCACAAUUCAUCAUCUCAAUUAGUCAACAUACCAAAAAUCAUAUGUCUAACUUAGGAAUCAAAAUCUCUCCAAACUUAUGCACUCAACUUAAUCAUCUAACUAGAUUCUAUUUCUCUAUCACAUCCCUAGACUAUUUCUAAAUAGUCUCACAAUACCUCUAUCCGAGGUCACCCAACAUUCUUCUCUAGAAAACCUAUAACUAUGAUCUAUAUUCUAAUUUCAAAUACUUAUAACCUGUUGCUCUGAUACCAACUGUGACAGUCCAGGAAUCCGGGGGUCUGGAUUCUGACGUCACCACAUAAAACCCAUUUUUAAACACUUUUGAAAUCCUGUAUUUUUUUUUUUUAAAGAUAAUGAAUCCAAAUAAUUUAAAACUUGAAAACAUUUAAUAAAAGAUUUGAAAGACGUUAAAUAAAAGAUUUAAAAGAGAACAUCUUCACCCCCAAAACAACAGGAUCGCUUCCAGGUUACAGUAUUGAAAUUAGAAUCAACCACUAUUAUUACACAACAUCUCUUACCAAAUCAGAUCAUCUUCGAUAAGAAGAAUCACUGUCAACUAUUCCAGCUAUGACUUACACUUGAAUCUCUAUAGCACAGCUCUAGCUUGCACCAACCUCAUCAACUUUCCUGAACACUCCUCGACCACUGGAUCCUCAACUCUGUCUCCUCGCCUAGCAUUAGCCUUAUUCACAAUCUCAAUCAAUCAUCUCAUCUUUAAGCCUUUCUGAAAUGGUUAGAAAGGAAUAGCAAGGGUGAGCAACAAUGCUCAGCAAGUAAUAAUAAACAAUGAUAGUUCUGAAAUGAUAUAAUAGAAGUUCACGAGUUCAAGAUAUAAGAGGAUUCAACCUGAGUUCAUGAGUUCAUGGUAUUGUAUAGAAUGAUUUACAAUACCUUGCAGCAUUUAAACUGAGAAAUUCAAUCUUUCCAAAGAAUUAUUGAAUUGGACUAUCACAUUUUAAUUAAAACCAAGGUUAGGCAGCUGAUCAGUUCCGCACUAACCCCGAGCAGGCCCCGCCAUGCUCUAUCACUGGAUCCAAGGCACUCAUUGGCCUAACAUGACCACGAAUCUGGUCCACAGGUUUAUAUAAAAACAAUAAUCCAAUUCUCUAAUUCAAUUCAAGAAGCCAAUGUAAAUUAACAGAACAUCAUCAUAAAUAUCAUCAACAACAGAAUAAUUCCAAUUCAAACUUUGAUAAUAAUCUAUUCAUAAAUCAUGAUCCAUCAUUUCAUAAAUCACAGUUCAGGAAAUCCUCAACUAUUCAGUAUCCUCCAUUAUCGGCUAAGCAACUGAAUUUAGCCUGCUAAACCAGCAUGACAAUGGCGGGUUGAAUAAUCAAGAAGAUCCCAAUUCAUUCAAAGCUCUAACUAUCACUGAGCAACACAUGCUUCAAUGACAAUCUGAACUUCGAAUUAAUUUGUAAAACGGAAAUUCUUUAGAAACUUGAAGAUUAGAAAGAAUGGGUCAGAAUACUCGCACUUUCGAACAUUGAAAAGAAAGGUAUGAAUACUUGAAACAUAUACCAAAGGAAUGGAUCAGAAUAUUUGCAAUAUAUCCAAGAGAAAGGUUUAGGAUACUUGCCUUAAAUCUGACUCCAGUCUCACAUCUCAAUCUCAUCUUUCCACUUUCACAAUCUAUGCAUCUCAUAGUCUCUAGACCAUCUCUGGCUAUACUCUAUCUACCGUACAUCUUCGCUUCGCUUACUCGAUUCAUCCCUUAUUCGCUUUGUAACACCACGUGACUUUCUGAACGUCUUCGGGCAUACACGUCUCGUCCAAAUCCUUUACGAGAAUAAGAUAACACUAUAAUCACUAAACAAUCGAUCGCAUAUACAUCUCACGUAUAUCGAUACCCACUUAUAUAUCCCUUUAAACUUAUCAGAUACCACGUAACACAUAAGCAUGCUUUGACUCUAACAUAUAGUCAAUCAUAUUCCACAUAACAUAUCACCAAUCAAUUAUCAUAUAAAUCCUUAUCGAAAAUCCGACAUCGUCUCGUCUAUGUAUAAGACUAUCCACCUAUUAUCCUAUCUCAAUCAUUAAUCAACCAACAAAAUCCAAUAGCUAUAAUCCAUAUAUUCUUAUCCAAUAUCAAUCAUACGAAUCAUUUAUCACUUCACAAUAUCAAAACUAACACGUACUUCACAUAAUCAUCACCUGAUAGCACUUAGAUCACAUAUUAUCACAUUAUGCAUACUUAUCAACAAUUAUUCACCUUAUAGACUCAGCCAUAUAGUCACAUCAUAUUAAAAUAGACGUUAUAAGCUUCUGUCUCUCUUUCGUUUCACUUGAUUCCGACUUACGGAUCAAAAGUUAUGCUCAAAACAGUUUUCUCACUCUCCUAUCGGCACAUAACACAUCCAACCAAUAGCAGACAACACACAACACAUAAGGUUUCCCAUCCCAAUUGAUAUUAAAUCAAGUCUUGGGUUAAAAAUGAUUUUUCGGGAAUUUUCUGGAAUUUUUAAACAUUUUUCGGAAUUAAAAUCGAUAAAAGAAUCACUUUUCGAAUAAAUAAUCAAGUCCCAAAUACUUGAAAUUGGACUUGAAAUCAUUCAUAAACAAUUAUCGAGCCUUGAAAAUAAUUUGGAAAAAUAUUUUAAAGCUCGAAACUAUUUUUCGGAAUUUUUAAAUCAAAAAGGAUUAAUUAAAUCCAAUUAAUUAAUCAAUUAAAAUCAAUUAAUAAUUAAUUAAAAUAAUUAAUCAAUUAAUAUUUAAAUUAAUUGACCAAUUAAAAUAAUUAAUUACUAAUUAAAAUUAAUUAAUAAACUAAUUUAGAUUUAUUUUUGAAUAAAGAAAUAAUUAAAAACUAUUUUUGGAAUUUAAAAUAAUUAAAUAAAACAAUUUUAGAAAAUUAAAUCAAAAGGUUUAUUUUGUAAACUUUUGAAAGUUUUGUCCAGGGUUUAAAGUGCAACUUUUCAAAGUUACAGGGGGUAAUUCAUAAGUUUCAGAACCUGAGUACAAAAACUUCAUCAUCUUCAAAACUUCGGUGACCAAACAGCAAUAAGCCGCCGGCCACCACACUAACUCGCCGGAAAUUCGUUUCCAGGCGUCCUCCACUCACCAUCUACUCCAGAUAAGUAGUACACACACCCAUAAAUCAAUCCCCCAUCUUUAAUUAGGCAGAAGUCGCGCGAAUUCGCCGGAAAAUCCGGCCGAAGUCGGCGACUUCCCGCCGCCGAUGGCGGCGAUUCGAGCCACCUCCGCUCAAACCAAGCACACCAGCAUACUCCCCUUUCUCUCCUCUUUCUAUUCAUAUAUACCACUACUNUUCCACUACUUCCCAGACUUAACGGAUCAAAAUUCCGGCGAAGAGCUUGAGUUUUCCGGCGAGGAACCUCAAGAACACCAAGAACACUCAACUCAAGAAUUAAACCACUGUUUCUAUAUGAUUCCGAACCCCAAAUUCAACAUAUAAUAUACCAAAACGACGAGAAAAGCACGUACUACAACAUGGUAUCAUCAAAAUCAUCAAACAAUCACGUUUGCAAAAAUUCACUAUUUAAAUCAUAAUAAUUCGAAUUUUAAAGCUCCAAUUAUUCCCUACCUGUGAAUCUCAUGUUGUUUUUGAUGAUUGAUUUGGGUUCUACUCUUCGAUAUCUUCGAUUUGACUAUUUGCACGCUUGAUUCUGACUCCAAUAACACCUUCAAAUCUUCAUUUGAUUAUGAAGAACGCGAAGAACACCGCUCGGUUUCUCUCGGUAUUCGUGCAGAGAAACUGGUGAAAUGAUUUUACGGUGGAAAAUAAGGUGUAGAAAGGUUUAUUUAUAUUUACAAAUAAUUGGUACCCCUUUGGAUCGUAUAUGACAUGAAAAUACGUAUUUAAUAGGCGAAGAACACCGCUCGGUUUCUCUCGGUAUUCGUGCAGAGAAACUGGUGAAAUGAUUUUACGGUGGAAAAUAAGGUGUAGAAAGGUUUAUUUAUAUUUACAAAUAAUUGGUACCCCUUUGGAUCGUAUAUGACAUGAAAAUACGUAUUUAAUAGCUUUAUAUUAAUAAAGCGGGAUCCAAUCGGUACCGGUUUUCGAGAUAAUCAUCAAAACGGGGCUUUUUAACUCAAUUAUUGGUCUGCGGGUCCCAUUGCAAUUAUUACAAGAUAAGGAUGAAUAUAAUAAUCAAAAUAUCUCGUUUCACGCUUAUCGAGACAAACUGGAUAAUUAUCAACAAUUAAAAUACCCGAAAAACUCCGCCGGACCGACUCCGGGGAAAACCGUACUCCGGAUCGAAAAAGUCAAAACACGAAAAAUGUCCGGAAUAUUGAAAUUAGGUUAAAGGUAAGUUUUGUUGAAACUUCCGGAAAGAAAAUUUGCUACCUCGUUACGAGUGGACGGUUUUACGGAAGUCAAAUAAUUAAUAUAUAAAUAUAAAUAUACGCAAUUAAAU